CUGAGCUGUGGCUGGCUCCCCAGCGCCUGGUGCACAUGGAUGUUUGUUUCUGACUGUGAGCAAGAUCUCCACCGGUGAUGGCAUGUGUGGGUUUGGGUGUAGGGAGGUGGAGGGUCUUCCAGUAAGCUGUUGCAUGUACGUGAGGGUAUGUGGUUACGGGUGAUUUCUGAGGAGCUGUUGCAUUUCUGCGUGCGGUGAUUUGAGGAGGCGUACGAAAGACGGUCUCCCCAGAGCAGUUGCACGCGUGUGUUUGUGUGUGGAUGAAAGGUCUCCCCCACCUCCUGUUGCAUUUUGACGUGUCAAUUUUCUUAGCAAACGCUGCAGGGGCAUGUGUCGAGGUGUAGUUUCCCACGGCUGUUGCACAUACCUGUGUCAGUAGGUGUACAGCUGUUGCAUGCGUACGUGUGUGUAUGUAGCUCCUCAGGAGCCGUUUCUUGUACCUGUAUCGUUCCUAGAAGCUGUCGUAUUUUCAUGCGGGUGGCUUGAUUCUGAGAAGCUGUCGCCUCUGUGUGUGUGUGCGUGUGAUUCCCCAGCAGCUGUUACUCGUGCGUGUUCCUGGGAAGCUGUUGUAUGUUGUGUGUAGCUCUUCAGCAGCUGUUGUAAGGAAAUUGUGAGCGUGUGUGCGUGCGUGCAAUUCCCCAGCAGCUGUUGCAUGUGUGCUCAUGUCUCCGGUGGAGGCCCACCCCUUUCCGCCUGCACCGGAGCGGUGGCUGUGCAGGCGAGGAGAGCUCGGAGCUGGCUCCAUGGGAGAGGGACCUUCGCCCGUCACAGCCUUCCCAACUGGGAGAAGCGGUGCCGGCUCCGGUCCCAGAGCCCUAUCAGCCGAGCCUGUGGCGAAUUAAUCACCCGCGUUUUAAAUGCCAAUACAGCCCUUUCUGCCUUCUUCCCCCAGUGAUGCGGAUGCGGCGAAGGCAGCAAAUCCUCCGGCUGUGCGUGUCCUCCCCGGACUGCUGCUCCGUCCCCGCCUGUCGUGCUCGCCUGUGUGCGUGGCUGGGAAUGCUGCCUAGGUGCAGCCGGGAAUGAGACAGCUGUGGGGCAGAGGACAGCACAGCUCCGAGGGGUGACACAAGGUGGGGGAUACCCCCCCCCCGCCCCACGCACACAUCCGCAGGGCUGCGAGUUGCUUGAAGACAGGGGUCUUUUGUGCCUCCACUUCGUCUCUGUCAUGCCCCGUAUGGAAGCCGGGAGCGAUCGCCCCUCCAGAAGCAGAAGACGAAGUCGUUCGCAAUGAAUCCAUGGCAGCUUCGAUCGAGCGGUGAGCUGGAGCACCUACUCACAGGCCACUCCUUGAUGUGACCGAAGAGAGGCCUUUCCCAGCGCUCGCCGAGGAACGCAGAGCCCUGGAUUUACCUCCCGCGCACCCGGGCACCCCCAGCACAGGCACGGCGAGAUUCCAGUGACAGAUGGAUCUCUCUCGUGCGCACUUGCUCUUUCCCUCUGUAUUUUUUGUUUUCGACAUGUUUGAUCUGAAGCUCUGAAGCUUCUCGGAGGGAACCCGGGAGAGAAGGAGGAGAAGGAGGAGGAACCGAGGGAGCGUGAGCGACAGAGGAGGCAGCCCUGCCUUGUUCUUCCAAAUCACACCGUGGAGGGGCGGGGGAAGACUAGAGACGGGGGAG